AUUGAACGCUGGCGGCAUGCUUUACACAUGCAAGUCGAACGGUAGCACGCCUUCGGGUGCUUACUAGUGGCGGACGGAGGAGUAAGGCAUCGGAACGUACCCGUAGUGGGGGGAUAGCGCAGCCGAAGCUGUGCGAAUUCCUCAUGUGAUCGGAGUAUGAAUGCGGGCGACGGAGCAGCAAGCUUUGCCCUCGCGCGUUUGGAGCUGCCGAUGUCGGAUUAGCUAGUUGGUGGGGUAAAGGCCUACCAAGGCGACGAUCCGUAGCUGGUCUGAGAGGACGACCAGCCACACUGGGACUGAGACACGGCCCAGACUCCUACGGGAGGCAGCAGUGGGGAAUUUUGGACAAUGGGCGCAAGCCUGAUCCAGCAAUGCCGCGUGUGGGAAGAAGGCCUUCGGGUUGUAAAGCGCUUUUGGCAGGAAAGAAACGCUGUCCGCUAAUACCGGGCGGUAAUGACGGUACCUGAAGAAUAAGCACCGGCUAACUACGUG
rnacentral:rRNA from 1 species